CACAUGGUAUACAGACACACAUGCAGGCAAGACACCCAACGUUAAUAGUUAAAAUAGUAACAACAACAAAACACAGGUAGAAUAAUGCCAAGGGGAGGAGGCUAGUGAUGUAAGUGGGUCCCUAGAGCUGGCUGGCCAGCCAAUGUAACCAACCAAUGAGCUCCAGUUUCAGUGAGAGAUUUUAAUAAUAAGAAGAAGAACAACAACAACAGAAGAGAAGCUGGAGAGACCUUGCCAUCCGUACAGUUCAUGACACACCCUUCCUGAGGAAGCUGGAGGCUUUGAGUACCACAAGGUUGUCUGGCUGAUGGAGGUCUGUGCUUCUUCCAGAACUACCUAAGAUCAAAGUGACCCUAGUGUUUGAGCAUACAAACCAGGACAAACAGACAUAUAUGGACAGGGCAUACCCAGCAGGCUUGCAACUUGAGACGUGAAGGAUCUAAUGCACUUAUUUCAAAGAGGUCCAGAUCUCCUUUAUAAAAAUUGCAUAGUACACAGAGAACCGAAGCCAGAGAACAUUCUAGUGCUGAGUAGUGGGACAGUCAAGCUGGCUGACUUUGACUUAGCCAGAAUCUGCAGCUAACAGAUGGCCCUCACACCUGCAGUUGUUACACUCCAGCACCAUGCUCCUGGAAUUCUUCUGUAGUCUACAUAUGCAACGCCUGUGGACCUGUGGAGUGUCGGCUGUAUCUCUGCAGAGAUGUCUGGACAAAAUCCUCUCUCCUAUGGACAUUCUGAAGAUGACCAGUUAGACAAAAUCUGUGAUCAGAUUGCCCUGCCUCCAGAGGAUCAGUGGCCUGGAAACAUCUCUCUCCCCAGAGCCUUUUUCCCCAAAGAGACUGGGCCAGUCCAGUCCAUGGUGACAGAGAUGGAGGAGCCUAGAGCACCGUCCAUCUGGAAAUGCUGACCUUUGAAGCACAUAAGCAAACCUGCACCACUGAGCCCUGCAUCCCUGUGAUCUACACAGGAGGACCGUGAUGCAGAGAGCAGAAGGUCCCAUGCUGUCCCCAGCUCUGUCCACAGGAGUAGACAGAGCCCUACCGGGAUCAAGAGCCCUGCCUUCCUCUGAAGCUGUGGAGACCCCUCCAAUUUUUUACAUCUUUAAAUGACACCUCUACCUCUCCUUCUGAGGUGAUACCAAAGUGAUACUAAAACAGCUAAAGCAUAGGCCAACCUUCAGAGACUGUGAAGUACUCAAUUAGGGCCAGCAGAGUAGCUCAAAGGGCCAAGGCACGUGCCGCCAAGCUUGACCAGCCAAGUUCGAUCCUGGGGAUCCGUCUACUCCACAUCCUGCAAGCUGCUCUCUGUCCUCCCCGUGCAUGUGGUAGCACACUCAUGUGCACAAAAAAAUAA
rnacentral:lncRNA from 1 species